rnacentral:rRNA from 1 species
CCCUUAGAUGUUCUGGGCCGCACGCGCGCUACAAUGAUGCAGGCAACGAGUGCCGCUCCUUAGCCGAAAGGCUUGGGGAAUCUUGAAAACUGCAUCGUGCUAGGGAUAGAUGAUUGCAAUCGUGCAUCUUGAACGAGGAAUGCCUUGUAAGCAUGAGUCAUCAACUCGCGCUGAAUACGUCCCUGCCCUUUGUACACACCGCCCGUCGCUCCUACCGAUUGGAUGGUCCGGUGAACUGGUCGGACUGCUGUUUGAAAUUGCGGGUGCAGUUGAUUCACGGGAAGUCUAGUAAACCUUAUCAUCUAGAGGAAGGAGAAGUCGUAACA